rnacentral:rRNA from 1 species
UGGGGAAUAUUGCACAAUGGGCGCAAGCCUGAUGCAGCCAUGCCGCGUGUAUGAAGAAGGCCUUCGGGUUGUAAAGUACUUUCAGUCGGGAGGAAGGUGUCAAGGUUAAUAACCUUGGCAAUUGACGUUACCGACAGAAGAAGCACCGGCUAACUCCGUGCCAGCAGCCGCGGUAAUACGGAGGGUGCAAGCGUUAAUCGGAAUUACUGGGCGUAAAGCGCACGCAGGCGGUUGAUUGAGUCAGAUGUGAAAUCCCCGGGCUUAACCCGGGAAUUGCAUCUGAUACUGGUCAGCUAGAGUCUUGUAGAGGGGGGUAGAAUUCCAUGUGUAGCGGUGAAAUGCGUAGAGAUGUGGAGGAAUACCGGUGGCGAAGGCGGCCCCCUGGAUAAAGACUGACGCUCAGGUGCGAAAGCGUGGGGAGCAAACAGG